rnacentral:rRNA from 1 species
AGGGCACCACCAGGAGUGGAGCCUGCGGCUUAAUUUGACUCAACACGGGAAAACUUACCUGGUCAGGACACUGGAAGGAUUGACAGAUUGAGAGCUCUUUCUUGAUUCAGUGGGUGGUGGUGCAUGGCCGUUCUUAGUUGGUGGAGCGAUUUGUCUGGUUAAUUCCGAUAACGAACGAGACUCUAGCCUACUAAAUAGACUGCUCAACUUUAUAGCUGCAUCACCUUGCAGUUGCUUCGGUGGCUGUAAGGCUGUGGUGACGUUGGCAGUGCUUCUUAGAGGGACAGGGGGCGGUUCAGCCGCACGAAACAGAGCAAUAACAGGUCUGUGAUGCCCUUAGAUGUCCGGGGCCGCCCGCGCGCUACACUGAAAUGAUCAGCGGGGAUGUAUAUUAAGCUGCUCCGUCAGGAAUGGGUAACCCGUUGAACCUUCUUUCUGAAUGGGGAUAGGAGAUGGUAUUUUUUCUCCUGGAACGAGGAAUUCCCAGUAAGCGCAUGUCAUAGCCUUGCGUUGAUAAAG